rnacentral:lncRNA from 1 species
GGCUUUGCCAAGUCAAGGUACAUGAAGUAAAUGAUAAUGAGAGAAAGCUGCUGAAUAACUUGACAGUUAUUGAGAAUUUCUCUGAAUAAAUUACACGAACACUUUUACCUGUUAACACCCUUUUGGCAUUAAAGUCUUUAUUUAAAAUAGUUCCUCCUCUGUAAUGAAUUUGACUUGUGAUGAUGACUGCUAUCUCCUGUCCUUGCAUUUCAGCCUUCCUCUGAAGUGGCAAUAGCCACUUACGAGGUCCUGAUCAGUCUGACACCCAAGGCAGUGAUGAGGAAUAAGGAACACAGACUUCCCCCAUCAGCAGCAAAAGCAGUCAGUCACUGCUUCUCUGGUGAGAAGAGCUUCUCACUACACAGCAACAAAAGGUGUCAAAGAGGAAAAGACAGAUAAACCCAUCCCCAGGGACUGCUGGAGUGAAAGAAGCAGGACCACAGGGUUUCUACAGUCAUUAGCAUUCUUGCCAGUUGAUGAGAAAGCAUUUCAUAUCCAAACCCGUAUGGUCAGCAGAAGACAAGCAUUAACUUAUUGCCUGUUUGAUUUUCAUCUUUCAUUUUAAUGUGCUGAAUUAUUAAUGUCAUCCUAGUCACUAGCUAAACUUUUUAUUUUUUAAAUUUCUAUGUAAUGUUAAACCAUUACAUAAUCUAAAAGCAUUCAGGGCUCUGAUGCCA